rnacentral:tRNA from 1 species
GGGAGCUUAGCUCAGUUGGCUAGAGCGCACGAUUCACAUUCGUGAGGUCAUAGGUUCAAGCCCUAUAGUUCCCACCA